GAUGAGCGCUGGCGGCGUGCCUAAUACAUGCAAGUCGAGCGAAUGGAUUAAGAGCUUGCUCUUAUGAAGUUAGCGGCGGACGGGUGAGUAACACGUGGGUAACCUGCCCAUAAGACUGGGAUAACUCCGGGAAACCGGGGCUAAUACCGGAUAACAUUUUGAACCGCAUGGUUCGACAUUGAAAGGCGGCUUCGGCUGUCACUUAUGGAUGGAACCGCGUCGCAUUAGCUAGUUGGUGAGGUAACGGCUCACCAAGGCAACGAUGCGUAGCCGACCUGAGAGGGUGAUCGGCCACACUGGGACUGAGACACGGCCCAGACUCCUACGGGAGGCAGCAGUAGGGAAUCUUCCGCAAUGGACGAAAGUCUGACGGAGCAACGCCGCGUGAGUGAUGAAGGCUUUCGGGUCGUAAAACUCUGUUGUUAGGGAAGAACAAGUGCUAGUUGAAUAAGCUGGCACCUUGACGGUACCUAACCAGAAAGCCACGGCUAACUACGUGCCAGCAGCCGCCGUAA
rnacentral:rRNA from 1 species